rnacentral:rRNA from 1 species
GACGAACGCUGGCGGCGUGCUUAACACAUGCAAGUCGAACGGAAAGGCCCUGCUUUUGUGGGGUGCUCGAGUGGCGAACGGGUGAGUAACACGUGAGUAACCUGCCCUUGACUUUGGGAUAACUUCAGGAAACUGGGGCUAAUACCGGAUAGGAGCUCCUGCUGCAUGGUGGGGGUUGGAAAGUUUCGGCGGUUGGGGAUGGACUCGCGGCUUAUCAGCUUGUUGGUGGGGUAGUGGCUUACCAAGGCUUUGACGGGUAGCCGGCCUGAGAGGGUGAACGGCCACAUUGGGACUGAGAUACGGCACAGACUCCUACGGGAGGCAGCAGUGGGGAAUAUUGCACAAUGGGCGGAAGCCUGAUGCAGCAACGCCGCAUGCGGGAUGACGGCCUUCGGGUUGUAAACCGCUUUCGCCUGUGACGAAGCGUGAGUGACGGUAAUGGGUAAAGAAGCACCGGCUAACUACGUG